rnacentral:misc_RNA from 1 species
AACAUCGCGCACCUGCGGGAACCUGCGGAAGGAUCAUUACACAAUAAACAUAUGAAGGCUGCACCGCCAACAGGCGGCAAGGCUGGAGUAUUUUAUUACCCUUGUCUUUUGCGCACUUGUUGUUUCCUGGGCGGGUUCGCCCGCCUCCAGGACCACAUGAUAAACCUUUUUUAUGCAGUUGCAAUCAGCGUCAGUACAACAAAUGUAAAUCAUUUACAACUUUUAACAAUGGAUCUCAGA